AGGGAACCAAGGGGAGGUCCAACUCCGUGAACUCAAUUGAAGAGAACAGAGAGCUGAUAUCUCAAGAUUCCCGGCCCGCUGCAGGCGCGGCGGAACAUAUCCCAAAGCUCCCGUCCAAUUAUCUGUACUGUGAAGCCUCCAGCUAGACCUGCAGAAAUGCUGGAAAAUUCAGUCCUGUCGUGGGGGAAAUUUUUGGCGGCUUGGCUCCCUCAAGAGAAGUCCGCUUCCCAAGUACCCUAGCUUAAUUCUAGCUAAAUAGAUGUAUUCUAGGGGGGAAAAAUAAUAAAGAUAUGCACGAAUUAUCCGAAGGUAACAAAGUCGGAGAAUUCGAUGCGACUUGCACGUAUCUGUUUGGAAGAAAGUGGUGAGAUCUAGGCUCCUCCGCCACUAGGAGAAAAUUGAAGAAGGGGAGCAACUUCAAAGUCAGGGAACCGGAGCCUUCUUGGUCACCCUCUGCCUCAGCCUUUAAAUCCGACAGCCUUUGGUUGGAGUCCCAGUCCCAGGAGAAGAAAGUUCACCGGAUACAGGGGACUGUGAGACAGGAGAAUCUUAAGAAAGAUGGCUCAAUUCCUGUUUGAUC
rnacentral:lncRNA from 1 species